AAUAAAAAUCACAAGCAUUUUACGUUCGUCAUGAUCCUACAUACAGUACUGGUACACACGUUCCAGUUUUCGUCCAAACUCACAGAAACGUCAACAUUUGUAUUUCGUCACGUAAACGGAUAAUUACACCACUCAUAUUUAACCAAAAUCGAUACAGAUUUAUAUUCGCAAAAUAAUGGCAAACAAGGACCGAAACAAAACGAUUUUGCUGGAAUUGGGGAAACUGCCAGAAAACAAUCAAUGCGCAGACUGUGGCGCGCCAGAUCCUGACUGGGCGUCCUAUAAGCUGGGUGUAUUCGUUUGUCUGAACUGCUCUGGAGUGCAUCGCAACCUGUCCAACAUCAGCCGCGUCAAAUCCAUACGGCUUGACUUCUGGGAUGACGAGCUAGUGAAGUUCAUGAAAACCAAUGGAAAUGCCAGAGGCAGAGCCGUCUAUGAGAAAGCAGUCCCAGCAUUCUACUACCGGCCCCAGCAAGAAGACUGUGCCGUCUUAAGGGAGCAGUGGAUAAGAGCAAAAUAUGAGAGGAUGGAAUUUACCGGCGAGACAAAGUAUCCUCCACUGGCCUACACCACAGGUUUCUAUGAAGGGAUACUGUGGAAGAAGGGGAAGGAGAAGGGACAGUUUCAGAGAAGGAAGUUUGUUCUGUCUGAGAAGGAAUUCACCCUGGCUUACUACAACAAGGAGGAUCCAUCCAAAGGGCCCAAAGCGCUCAUCUCCAUCAAAGACGUGAAUGUGACCUUUCAACCUGAGAAAAUUGGUCACGCCCAUGGCCUGCAGAUUACCUACCAGGAAGACAGCCACACCAGAAGUCUUUUUGUCUACCACGAAAGUGGAGAGGAGAUUGUCAACUGGUUCAAUGCCAUUCGAGCUGCUCGCUUUGCCUACCUGAAAACAGCAUACCCCACAGGAAGUGAUAAAGAAUUGAGGACUAGAAUUACCAGAAACUACCUCAAAGAAGGAUACAUGGAGAAGACAGGUCCUAUGCAAAAGGAGACGUUCAAAAAGAGAUGGUUCAUCUUGGACUCCCAAGACAGGAAGCUCCUUUACUUCAAAAGCCAGCUGGAUGCUGAGGAGCUGGGAGUUGUGUUCAUCGGCACAGAGACCAAUGGUUACUCAGUGAGUGAGUGCAUUCCCAAAAGGACCAGAGGCAACAGGUGGAGGUGUGGAGUCACAGUGGAGACGCCAGACCGCCAGUUUGUCUUCAUGUGUGAGCAGGAGAGGGAGCAGAGAGAGUGGGUGGAGGCCCUCAGACAGGUCAUCUCUAAACCCAUGCAGCCCCAGGACUACACCAGUAAGAGCCGUGUCACCAGUAUUCACACCACAGGAGACUCCUGAGGGGAGGACGGCUCAUAAUAAUGGGCAGAACGGAGCGGAUGGAAUGGCAUCAAACACAUGGAAACCAUGUGUUUGAUGUAUUUGAUACCAUGCCACUGAUUCCGCUCCAGCCUAUACCACGAGCCCAUCCUCCCAAAUUAAGCUGAAGCCAACAUCCGAGGGAAGAGUUGACUUUCGAGAGAGAGCUGAGGGAAGAGUUGACUUUCGAGAGAGAGCUGACUUUAGAGAGUGAGAGAGAGAUUCCACCAACAUUGGCUGCAAAACCCACUCUGAAGAUUAUCUACACUGAACAAAAAUAUAAACACAACAUGCAACAAUUUCAAAGAUUUUACUGAGUUACAGUUUAUAUAAGGAAAUCAGUCUGUUGAAAUAAAUUAAUUCAGACCUAAUCUAUGGAUUUCACGACUGGGAAUACAAAUAUGCAUCUAUUGGUCACAGAUACAGAAAACCAGUCAGCAUCUGGUGUGACCACCAUUUGCCUGAUGCAGCGUGACACAUCCCCUUCACAAGUUGAUCAGGCUGUUGAUUGUGGCAUGUGGAAUGUUGUCCCACUGCUUUUCAAUAGCUGUGCGAAGUUGCUGGAUACUGGCGGGAACUGGAACACGCUGUCGAUCCAGAGCAAUCCCAAACAUGCUCAAUUAGUGACAUGGCUGGUGAGUAUGCAGGCCAUGGAAGAACUGGGAAUUUUUUGGAUUCCAGGAAUUGUGUACAGAUCCUUGCGACAUGAGGCCGUCCAUUAUCAUGCUGAAACUUAAGGUGAUGGUGGCGGAUGAAUGGCACAACAACAGGUUCUCGUCACGGAGUCUCUGCAGUCAAAUUGCCAUCGAUAAAAUGCAAUUGUGUUCAUUGUCCGUAGCUUAUGCCUGCCCAAAUCAUAACCACACCGCCACCAUGGGGCACUCUAUUCACAACGUUGACAUCAGCAAUCCACUCGCCCACACAACGCCAUACAUGCUGUCUGCCAUCUGCUCCGUACAGUUGAAACCGGGAUUCAUCCAUGUAGAGCACACUUCUCCAGUGGCCAUCGAAGGUGAGAAUUUUCCCACUGAAGUCGGUUACGUAGCCCAACUGCAGUCAGGUCAAGACCCAGGUGAGGACAACGUGCACGCAGAUGAGCUUCCCUGAGACAGUUUCUGACAGUUUGUGCCGAAAUUCUUUGGUUUUGCAAACCCACAGUUUCAUCAGCUGUCCGGGUGAUUGGUCUCAGAUGAUCCCGCAGAUGAAGAAGCCGGAUAUGGAGGUCCUAGGCUGACAAGGUUACUCGUGGUCUGCGGUUGUGAGGCCGGUCGGAUGUAUUGCCAAAUUCUAUAAAAUGACGUUGGAGGCGGCUUAUGGUAGAGAAAGUAACAUUCAAUUCUCUGGCAACAGCUCUGGUGCUCAUUCCUGCAAUCAGCAUGCCAAUUGCACGCUCCCUCAAAACUUGAGACAUCUGAAAUUCUCAUCAACAGGAUGUAAAGGGGCCUCCCGGGUGGCGCAGUGGUCUAAGGCACUGCAUCGCAGUGCUUGCUGUGCCACCAGAGAUUCUGGGUUCGAGCCCAGGCUCUGUCGCAGCCGGCCGCAACCGGGAGGCCCAUGGGGCGGCUCACAAUUGGCCAAGCAUCGUCCGGGUUAGGGAGGGUUUGGCCGGCAGGGAUGACCUUGUCUCAUCUCGCACUAUCAACUCCUGUGGCGCACAGUGCACGCUGACCAGGUCGCUAGGAGUACGGUGUUUCCUCCGACACAUUGGUGCGGCUGGCUUCCGGGUUGGAUGUGCGUUGUGUCAAGAAGCAGUGCGGCUUUGUUGGGUUGGGUUGGGUGGUGUUUCGGAGGACACAUGGCUCUCGACCUUCGCCUCUCCCGAGUUCGUACGGGAGUUGCAGCGAUGAGACAAGACAGUAACUACUACCAAUUGGAUACCACGAAAUUGGGAACAAAAAGUGGGUAUAAUGAAAACAGGGAUGUAAACAAAUUUGUGCACAAAAUGUGAGAGAAAGUUUUUUGUGGAUCUGGAAAAUUUCUGGGAUCUUUUAUUUCAGCUCAUGAAACAUGGGACCAGAGAGAUUUACAUGUUGUGUUUCUAUUUUUGUUCGGGAUAUAAAAGAAAUUCCAUUAUCACUGCAUUGAAUGUAUCCCCUUUACUGACAGCAGGACUCUAAAUAUAUUACUUCUUGGAGGAACAUGUGGGUUGGAACAUGUGGGACUGUGGGUUGUUUAUGUACAAUGCAAGUGUACAAAACAAGUGCACACGGGACACACAGCUCUGCCAUUUUAAUACGUAAGAUUUGAGAAUAACAAUUUUACCUUCCAUGAGACAGUACUGCCCCAAUUCGUUUUUCAACAACAGUUUUUCAACAAUUGUUGAAAAACGAAUUGGGGCAGUACUGUCUCACCACAAAUGAUGGACAAAUACUAGAUGCUUUGCUCGGCAUGGAAGGUAAAAUUGUUAUUCUCAAAUCUUACGUAUUAAAAUGGCAGAGCUGUGUGUCCCGUGUGCACUUGUUUUAUGUGUGAAGCCAGGUAAAUUCUGUUGCUAUGAGAAAGUAAACGUGUGUGUGUGUGUGUGUGUGCGCGUACAUGUUAUAAAAUUAAUAUCAACUGGGAUAAUAUCUAAUACCAACUGUGAUUACUUAUAUAAUAACAACUGUAUGUAUUAGAAGGGUAUGUUUUUAACCCUUGCUCUAUCAAUACACAAUACAAUCAAAUCAAGCCACUA